rnacentral:rRNA from 1 species
UACGGAUGGAGCUAGCGUUGUUCGGAAUUACUGGGCGUAAAGCGCACGUAGGCGGCUUUGUAAGUUAGAGGUGAAAGCCCGGAGCUCAACUCCGGAAUUGCCUUUAAGACUGCAUCGCUUGAAUCCGGGAGAGGUGAGUGGAAUUCCGAGUGUAGAGGUGAAAUUCGUAGAUAUUCGGAAGAACACCAGUGGCGAAGGCGGCUCACUGGACCGGUAUUGACGCUGAGGUGCGAAAGCGUGGGGAGCAAACAGG